ensembl:lncRNA
GGGAGACCUGAGCUGCAGAGCCAGCUGGGAUGGGCUGGGGAAAGCCUCCCCUGCCCCAGAACAUGCUGGCAUCUGCAGUGCUUGGGUUGUAGGAAAUCUCUACUUCCCUUUAUCUGGCUGGAGAAAAGAAGUUACAGGAGACACAACUGGGCAAGGUGUGGAGGAAGGGACCACUGUCCUCCAUGGCCACAGUGACCAACAGCUGGACUGACAGCAGCAAAGAAACGGGGUAGAGGUUUGAUGCAGAUUUCGAUGUGAACUGGACCAGGGGGACUGGCUGGGAUGAGCACCACCCUACAGAAAGCCUGUGCUCCCUCCUUCCCCACUGCCAGCCCAUCGUGAGUGGCAUCACCCCGCUGCUGCCCCAGCCAUGAGGACCACAAACAAGCCUGGCACCAGCCAAAAACCACCUGGCCCUCCUCCCAUGCACCUGCUCUCCAAGCUGGAGGAAAUAUCCCCUGAAACUGAUGCCAAGCCUGGCUGGAGGGAAGGGCUGCUCCACCAUUCUGUGUCUCUGCAGGGAAGCUCCAGCACAGGAUUUAGCUUACACCUGUCCCGUUGCUGUGGCAGAAGUGGGCUCCAGAGAUGCCCAGGGUAGGGCUGAGGCUGGGCAUGGCCUCAGGCUCUGGCUGUGCCGGUGUAAUCGCUCUGUGCUGCAGAAUGACCUUGGGCUGAAAACAAUUCCACACUCAGGCCUCACAGGCUGUUGCUAUCAAGGUCAACCAAAACAGCCCCGGCAGCACGUUUAAGCAGUGGGGGAAGGGAGGGCUUUGCUCUGCUCUGGCCAGGCCAGCGCAGCCCAGGGAGGGUGAGAGGGUGGCAGGGCUGUGGGGCACCAGGAUGGGGCUGGGCACCGCCUGAUGGAUGCUGAGCUGGCUGCCCACAAGGCUGGGAAUGGCAUCUUGGCCUCCUGCUGCCUGUGUGAGCUGGGAAACCCUGGGGCCAACAUCAGGAUCUGGAAAUGCUGGCACAGGGGUCAGCUCGGGGAUAUGCAAUGAAAGGGCUGGGGAAGGCAUGGGGGCACACAGAGACAAGGCCGGAGAAAUAGGUGGAGAAAAAUCUUCAACCCCUCCAGCAAAGUCCACUUCUCAGGGACAGCAGGCUGUAAACCAGGCACGUGUGCCCUGCCAGCACCUUGGCUACCUGGGCAGGGCUGGGCCCUUUCCAACAGCCUCGGCAAAACCUGGCACAGGUGGUUGGUCUGUGCCUUGAGAAUGGAAAAUGGGGGAUUGAUACAGUUUUCCAGCACGAUACAAUGGAAUGAUUUUCAUUCCUUGUGCACGGGAGGGAUGCUCGAUGCACUGUUAGCCCAUCCAUGCAGAUGCAGCAGGUCAGGGGAGAACACCCUUGCACGUGGAGGUCUGUGAGGGGAAAGGCUGUCUCUCUGGAAAAGGACUGAUAGAUCAGAGAGAGCUCAAGGAUCAAUACAAAGGAGCAGAAACCUCGGGGAGGGGGUGUAUGAGAGUGGAGAAUGAUGCUGAAAGGGGGAGAGUCGAGUCUGCAGCUUGUCAGGGAUGAGCUGGCAUCAGGGAUGCAACACAGCGAGCCAGGAAAAUGUCAGGGGCUGUUUUGCUUCAGGUUUAAUGCUGAAUAUGUUCCCAUAAAGGGAGAGGUGGGGGCUGCAGUGAGGCCCCCAAACAUCUCCAAAGGGAGUGAAGGGCCUGGGGUUGCUGCUUAGAUUUUACCUCUUGCAAAUUCCCAUUUCAGCUGAUGCUGCAAGGAGAAAAUUGAAAGAGGAAGGUGCUGAGAUAGUCCCUGUGCCUGUGAAACAGGGGAUGUGGUCAGCACCUUUCCUGCUUCCCCUUGGGGAGCGGGAAGCGAAGGGAAAGGCAGUGUUUCAAAAAACCUCCUUGAUUUUUGUUCGAGGGUGAUUCAAACAGACUGUGGUUGUUUCAGAAGUUUCUACCUCUCUUCUCAUUGUCAAAACAGCAGGAGGGAGAGAAGGGAGGCCUGAGCACAUGACAGAGUGAGAGAUGGAAGAGCUGGCAUUGAAGGGGAUGUGCAGAAAUCCAAGCCAAAAUUCCAAGUCCAAAACUUCCCAGGAAUAUUUCCCCCUCUUUGACCCUCCUCUCCCCAAAAGCGUGGCAGAUGCCAUCUCUGCAUGGGCACAGGGCUUCUGCACUAGGGGAAGGGCUGGGAGCAGUGAGAGGAAAGCAGAGCUCACACACUGUCCCACGAGUGCAGCGAUUCAAGCCCAGCCAUAUCAGCUGGUGAAGGGCAGGAGGAUCCUCCCCUGCAUAGUUUUGUCCAGAGUCGGUGUGAGCCAGGCACCAAGGACGAGCAGGGAGACAUGAAGCAAAACACGGGAAUUUGGGAGCUUGUGAUGUCUGCCCGAAGGUAACACGACAGCUGGGAAGCUUUUUGCUUGGUUCCCCUUUCUCUCCUCUCAGCUCUUGCGACAUCCCAGAAGAGAGAUGAGAAGAGAGCCCCAGCCACGGCCGGGAGGUGGCCUGGCCCAUCGCACAGCGGUGAGCAUGGUGACCAGCUGGUGGCUUUGCUGUCAAGGUGUCUUCAGCCUAGGAGGAAGUGGUGGCACCCAGCCAUGUGCUGGAGGCCACAUCCUGCCGUCCCACCGAGGCCAGACCUCGCUGCCCCUAACGCCGGGAGACACGAGGCCGGUGCUGCUGCCCUCCGGAUGCUGGCAGGUUGAUUGCCUUCUGAUUCAGUCCAAUAAUCAAGAGUAAUUGCCUGGCAGCUCCCUCCCUGCCUAAUGGGCUGUCUCCCACCGUGGCUCCCCAGCCUGGCUCCACCCAACCUGCUCACAGGGAUGCAGCAGUGCAGCAUCCCACCGGUCUCAUGCAUGCCCCAUCCAUCUGCCCAAGUCACCCAUGAGCCCUGGUGGCCUCUCCACCUGGCCCUGACCUGAUGUUCCCAUCACAAAUCCAUCACCCCAGUGGUACUGCUGGACUUUUUCCUGCUCUAUCAGCACAUUGGUGGACCACGCUUCCCAGCUGCGAGGGCCAUCAGCUCUACCCAUGCCUUGUGGCUCCCCUUAUUUGACGUAAAAUCUUCUAAUUAAUAAUCAGCCUUUUCAAAGUGGAAUACAAACAUUAAUUAAUUCCCCAUGAGGCAGGUAAUUAACAGCAAUGACUCCCAUUUUUCUGCCAGGGAAGCUGCGAUGGGGAGAUCUUGCACGAUCCACAUGGAGGUGACAAAGGAAUGAUCGGGCAAAGGCAGCUCUGCUCCAGCAUGGCCCUGCAGGAACCCUCGGCUGGGUCCCCUUCCACUGGGGGCUUCCUGUGGGGACUCUCCUGGGCUAUCUCUCCUUUAUCACUGUGGCCAUCUCCAGUGAGGAGGGGAUGGCACAAUCCCAAAGUGGCCUGGCAGGACACGUCCAUCACUGUGGCCAUCUCCACAUGGUGGGGACAGCCUGGUCCCAAAGUGGCCUGGCCAUCACCAUGGCCACCUUCGCCCUGCGGGAUGAGGCAUGGCCCUGGGGUGGCCCAGAAGAUCCCACAGGUUUCCGGUCCCUCUGUACCACCCCCUCCAAAGCACCCACCUGGGUGCUGAAUUUUGGGGCACCUUCACCAGGACAAGGCACUCCUGGGGAAGGAGAUGCCAUCCAAAGGAAAAGGGUUUCUCUUGUAUUCCCAUCCAUGCCUGGUGUCCUGUUGCCUCCCAUCCCCCCAA